GAUUGGGUGCAGGAGGAAAAGGGGACGACAGAGGAUGAGAUGGCUGGAUGGCAUCACCGACUCGAUGGACGUGAGUUUGAGUGAACUCCGGGAGAUGGUGUUGGACAGGGAGGCCUGGCGUGCUGUGAUUCAUAGGGUAGCAAAGAGUCGGACACGACUGUGACUGAACUGAACUGAACUGUAUAUUCUAGAUCCUGGACAAAAGGGGGCGCUGCCAAGCCAUAGAUGAAGACUCAGAGUUAAUUUCUGCUUUAAAUUUCCAAAACUCACUAGGAUCUGCUAUAACCCCGAGGAGAAAAAAUUUUUCUCAACAGACACAUUUGGCAUUUAUAGAUUUUGCAGCUGCUGUGAAUUUAUCUAACUGCAGAGGAUUUCUAAAAAACUCAUCUGAUUGAAGAGGACAUGUAGAAACUUCCUUUGGGCCAUAGGGUCAAGAUCUUCGUUUUAUGAUGAUACGUGUAGUGAACAAAUCGAUUCUGAGGCUACCCACAUGUAGACUCAGACCUGGAAUGGACCUAGAGAGGUCACCUUCAUCUCCCACUCUUUUCUCUUCUGAUGGAGAUACAACCCCUCAUGCAUCAGCCCAGCUCCAAUCAAGAACAUACUCUCUUCCUGGCCAUAGUUACCCUGCACUCUCUGCCUUUUCCACUGGGGAACCUGGCAUCAGUGAAAUUCACCAGACUGACCCUGUGUUGGCCACUGGUGGGGAACAGACAAAAGGGCCCUUUUCUUAAACCACUUGGGGAUCAUAAAUGUCAAGUUGCCAAUUAUGAAUGAUAAGCAAAGUGGAAGACAUGGAAGAUAUCAAUGUAUCUUUUCAAACACUUACCAUGCAUUAAUAGCUAUUAGUUUAUUGAAUUUCUCAUGUUCACUGAUCUUGAUGUUUUAUGGAUUAAAAAAAAACUGAGAUUUAUGAAGAGGGAAGGGAAUUAAUAUGUGUUAAAACCUAUGGGGACCUAGCAUAUAGUAAGCACAUGGAGUUCUGCUCAAUGUUAUGUGGCAGCCUGGAUGGGAGGGGAGUUUGGGGGAGAAUGGAUACAUGUGUAUGUACGGCUGAGCCCCUUCACUGUUCACCUGAAACUAUCAAAAUAUUGUUAAUCAGCUAUACCCCAAUACAAAACAAAGUUUUUUCUUAAAAAAAUUAUGAUACAGAGAUUAUUUUAUAUUUUUUCCAAU
ensembl:lncRNA